rnacentral:rRNA from 1 species
GUGUUCCGGCGUCGUAUAGACCCGUGUGCUUGCACUGGUGAUUAGUGGCGAACGGGUGAGUAACACGUGAGUAACCUGCCCUUGACUCUGGGAUAAGCCUGGGAAACUGGGUCUAAUACCGGAUAUGACCUUCCAUCGCAUGGUGGUUGGUGGAAAGCUUUUGUGGUUUUGGAUGGACUCGCGGCCUAUCAGCUUGUUGGUGAGGUAAUGGCUUACCAAGGCGACGACGGGUAGCCGGCCUGAGAGGGUGACCGGCCACACUGGGACUGAGACACGGCCCAGACUCCUACGGGAGGCAGCAGUGGGGAAUAUUGCACAAUGGGCGCAAGCCUGAUGCAGCGACGCCGCGUGAGGGAUGACGGCCUUCGGGUUGUAAACCUCUUUCAGUAGGGAAGAAGCGAAAGUGACGGUACCUGCAGAAGAAUCGCCGGCUAACUACGUGCCAGCAGCCGCGGUAAUACGUAGGGCGCAAGCGUUAUCCGGAAUUAUUGGGCGUAAAGAGCUCGUAGGCGGUUUGUCGCGUCUGCCGUGAAAGUCCGGGGCUCAACUCCGGAUCUGCGGUGGGUACGGGGCAGACUAGAGUGAUGUAGGGGAGACUGGAAUUCCUGGUGUAGCGGUGAAAUGCGCAGAUAUCAGGAGGAACACCGAUGGCGAAGGCAGGUCUCUGGGCAUUAACUGACG